AACGGCAAUGAAGUCAGUGAGUGGUUAAAGUACAUAGAAGACAGUGCGUGUCCUCUUCUACUUUCGUGUUUCUUUUGUGUUCUUGUCAUCUGGGUAAAGAUCAAAAAGCUCCAUCAUUUGGUUUCUGCUUCUCACAGUGAUAAUGCGUGUAUUUAUGCUUCUGGGUUUUGUUUCUUUUGAGAAUUUGGAUAUGGGUUUUGAUUGUGGGGUGUGUUGAGGAAGUGUGGGGUUGUAGAAUUUCAAAUUUUUUGGUUGGGGCAGAGGUAUGAAAGAGAAGAGUAAUGGGGUUGUGGCUGGGAAAGUUGUGGUGGUUGCUGUUAAUGCUUUGAGGGAAAUUCAAAAGACUGCUCUGGUGUGGGCUUUGACUCAUGUUGUGCAACCUGGCGAUUAUGUUAAGCUUUUGGCUGUGAUUCCUUCUCACACAUCAAGUAAAAAGAUAUGGGAGUUUGCAAGAUUUACUAGUGAUUGCACCACUAGUCAUCGGAGGUCUCUUUCAGGAACCGUGUCAGAUAAGAAGGAUGAUAUUGUGGACUCAUGUUCUCAGAUGGUGCUCCGGCUCCAAGAUGUUUAUGAUCCAGAGAAGAUAAAGAUCAGGAUAAAAAUUCUCUCUGGCUCACCGUGCGGUGUUGUGGCUGCCGAAGCAAAGAGAGCUCAAUCAAACUGGGUUAUAUUGGACAAACAAUUGAAAUAUGAAAAGAAACACUGCAUGGAAAAACUGCAAUGCAAUGUUGUGAUUAUGAAACGAUCUGGGCCAAAGGUUCUUCGCUUGAAUUUGAUAACAAAGACAGAACCUGAAGUGCCUUACCCUUCAUUGUCUGAAUCAGAAUCUUCACCAAAACGUCUAAAAAGCAAGUUUGAAGAGUCGAAUAUGAUUAGAGGGCCAACUGUGACUCCUAGAAGUAGUUUUGACCACGAGUCACAUCUGACUGCAACUGAUAUUGGAACAUCAUCCAUAUCAAGCUCAGAUGUGGGGACUGAACGAGAUUUUCUUUCCGAAAUUUUGGGGAGGUUAAAGCAAGAGUAUCCAUCUACUAUUGAAGGAAAUCAGAAUUUGAAUGAAUCUGAUACCGAGACAAAUAAUGAAAACCAGAGUUCUUACUUCACAAGUUCAUGUUGCCAGCCUUGUAUGGCAGAUUAUCUAAGUUCUGGUGGUGAGUUUUCAAGAUGUGCGGCGGAAGGUUCAGAGAGACCUUAUGAUAAGGCUCUGAUUUCAACAUAUGGAGCCUUGCUGGAUAAGUUAGCUAACUUGAAUCGAGAACCUGAUGUUGGGGUCUUGAAUUAUAGGCUUGAUUUGAAUUUAAGCAGAAGUGUACGUGAAGCAAUUUCAUUAUCCAAAAAUUCACCUCCUAACCCUCCUCCAUUGUGCUCCAUAUGUCAGCACAAGGCACCUGUUUUCGGAAAUCCUCCUCGGUGGUUCACCUAUGCGGAGCUGGAAUUUGCUACAGGUGGAUUUUCACGAGCAAAUUUCUUGGCUGAAGGUGGGUUUGGUUCUGUGCACAGAGGUGUCUUAGCACAUGGUCAGGUUGUUGCUGUCAAGCAAUAUAAAUUGGCUAGUUCUCAAGGUGAUCAAGAAUUCUGCUCAGAAGUUGAAGUCCUAAGCUGUGCACAGCAUCGCAAUGUUGUGAUGCUGAUUGGGUUCUGCGUGGAGGAUGGAAGAAGGUUGCUAGUUUAUGAAUAUAUUUGCAACGGGUCUUUGGAUUCUCAUCUAUACAGACCUCAGAGACAUCCGUUAAAAUGGUCUGCGCGACAAAGAAUUGCAGUUGGAGCAGCUCGAGGGUUGAGAUACCUUCACGAAGAGUGUAGAGUGGGUUGCAUUGUCCACCGUGAUAUGCGACCAAACAAUAUCCUUCUGACGCAUGAUUUUGAACCCUUGGUUGGAGAUUUUGGACUGGCAAGGUGGCAACCAGAUGGAGAUGUUGGGAUGCAAACAAGAGUACUUGGAACAUUUGGUUACUUGGCUCCAGAAUAUGCUCAAAGUGGACAAAUCACAGAAAAAGCUGAUGUCUAUUCCUUCGGGGUAGUUCUAGUGGAGCUUAUUACAGGACGGAAAGCUAUGGACUUAAACAAGCCUAAAGGCCAACAGUGCCUCACUGAAUGGGCACGGCCCUUGCUAGAAAAGAACGCCAUUUUCGAGCUGUUAGACCCGCGGUUAAGGAGCUGCUAUUCGAAUCAAGAGGUUUGUAACAUGCUGCAAUGUGCUUCCUUUUGCAUCAGGAGAGACCCUCAUUCCAGGCCUCGCAUGUCCCAGGUGCUUCGGAUUUUGGAAGGCAAUGACAUCCCCACAAAUUCAACAAAGAAUUCUUGAAGGAAAGAGGCAUUGUGAGAACAAUCUGUAAACGAUCCACAAGAUAGCUAUACAUUUUUGUUCCAAAAGAACAAAAGAAAGGCCUCACUCGUGUUGUUGCUACGUCAAAUUGAAUAUCUGGAGAUUUUGUAGACAUAUAACAUCGUCCUGUUAAUAUAGUAAUUAUCAACUGAGUAAUGUUCUCUUGCGAAAGAGUUUGAUAAUAAGAUCAUAUUAUAGACACAUUUUUCGUGAA